UAUUUUACAUCUCUCUAUUAUAAAAAAAAUCCUGGGAGAGAAAGACUAGGGAGACAAGACACUUAAAAGACCCGCGAGACGAAAGAGAUUGGCCACGGAGCAUCUCGCGGGGACCUUAAACAUGAGGCUUUAUGCCAAGAGAUUGACUCUGGACCAUCUCGUGGGGACGUAGAACAUGAGAUUCUUGCCAGACACGCCCUACUUACAACCAAUAUCAAAUAAGACCACGGGCAGCAAAACACUCAGUCAUGUAAAGGAUUUGAGCACACACAGAUCCAAGGUCUCAGCACAUAUAAAGCGUAUAAGGACAAUACGUUAUAGAUGAAAUGUUGACGACUAAGUGAAGAAGAAAGCAGCGCAAGAAAGAAUAAUCUAGGUGCAAAUUCAGAAAAUAAGGAAAGUAAUAAUCAGCCCGGAACAAGUGGAAUUGAAAAAAGCACAUCCAAUCGGGCUCAGAAUUAAAAGACAAAGAGUAAAAGACAAAGUAGAACUUCAUAAAGACGUUCAAAAACUUUGGCGCUAUAUACAUGCAGAGCAGGUUAGAGAUUAUGAAAGCAGUGGAAUUCGAAAGGCUCAAAAAAACGGUGCAAUACAAAUGCAGAGAAAGUUAAAGAAUAUGAAAGCAGGAAAAUUAGAAAGUAUCAAAAAAAGAAAGUAAAGAUCGCAGUAGCGCAAACAAAUGGACAUUAUUACUCAAAAAAUGGGAAAACAAUCACCACGGACCAGGUGUCAUUGAAAAAAAGCAGGACAAAGUGAGGGCAGAAAUAAAAGACAAAGAGUAGAAAACAAAGUUAAACGUCAUAAAGAGGUUAAAGAACAAGGGGGCCAAACACAUGCAGAGCAGAUUAUAGAUAAUGAAAACAG